GACGAACGCUGGCGGCGUGCUUAACACAUGCAAGUCGAGCGGUAAGGCCUUUCGGGGUCCACGAGCGGCGAACGGGCGAGUAACACGUGGGUGAUCUGCCCUGCACUUCGGGAUAAGCCUGUGAAACUGGGGCUAAUACCGGAUAUGACCUCCUAUCGCAGGGUGGGGGGUGGAAAGAUUUAUCGGUGCAGGAUGGGCCCGCGGCCUAUCAGCUUGUUGGUGGGGUAAUGGCCUACAAAGGCGACGACGGGUAGCCGACCUGAGAGGGUGACCGGCCACACUGGGCCUGAGACACGGCCCAGACUCCUACGGGAGGCAGCAGUGGGGAAUAUUGCACAAUGGGCGAGAGCCUGAUGCAGCGACGCCGCGUGCGGGAUGACGGCCUUCGGGUUGUAAACCUCUUUCAGCAGGGACGAAGCGCAAGUGACGGUACCUGCAGAAGAAGCACCGGCUAACUACGUG
rnacentral:rRNA from 1 species